rnacentral:rRNA from 1 species
UACGUAGGGGGCAAGCGUUGUCCGGAAUCAUUGGGCGUAAAGCGCGUGUAGGCGGCUCGGUAAGUCUGCUCUGAAAGCCUGGGGCUCAACCCUGGGAGGCGGGCGGAUACUGCUGAGCUCGAGUCCGGAAGAGGCGAGUGGAAUUCCUGGUGUAGCGGUGAAAUGCGCAGAUAUCAGGAGGAACACCAAUGGCGAAGGCAGCUCGCUGGGACGGUACUGACGCUGAGACGCGAAAGCGUGGGGAGCAAACAGG